UGACUGAGUGAGAAGAAACACCUGCUGACCCAGGUCGGACGACAUCUGACUUUCCUGACUGGCACUCCUGAAAAGGAACACUGAAAAGGGUCGCAGCAACCUCUGCAGAAACAUCAAAAAGCUCCCAGAACAUCAAACAGCCAAGCCAACAACUCCGGAGAAGAAACACCUGUCUGGCCAGAACACCAGCUCACUCCAGUUCGUUCCAGACGACGGCUUUCCACUGGGCCCAGGAACCCGUCACCCUGAUAUCUGCUGGACGGAGAUCGGGACACCUCUGAAACGAAUCGGACCACAGCUGGGGAAAGUUUCACUUUGGACCUGGGGAAGCACCGGGGGCCUCCACAGGGGACCCACCCCACCAAGACCAGCCCUGCACAUCUCCUUUUCUCCCAAUGUCAGCGGAGACGGAGCGGUGGAGCACAGUGACGACCCUCAAGAGGAGACUUUCUUUAAGUUUGUUAUCCCUCCGUAAGUGGCACGAAGCUCUUGUCAUCGGGUAUUGUGCUGGGAGUGCUUUGCCUGUUUAAUAAACAGGUUUUUUCCA